rnacentral:rRNA from 1 species
GACGAACGCUGGCGGCGUGCCUAAUACAUGCAAGUCGAGCGGACUUUCAAGAAGCUUGCUUUUGAAAGUUAGCGGCGGACGGGUGAGUAACACGUGGGCAACCUGCCUGUAAGACGGAGAUAACUCCGGGAAACCGGGGCUAAUACCGGAUAAUAUCUUUCUUCGCAUGAAGGAAGGUUGAAAGGCGGCGCAAGCUGCCGCUUGCAGAUGGGCCCGCGGCGCAUUAGCUAGUUGGUGAGGUAACGGCUCACCAAGGCGACGAUGCGUAGCCGACCUGAGAGGGUGAUCGGCCACACUGGGACUGAGACACGGCCCAGACUCCUACGGGAGGCAGCAGUAGGGAAUCUUCCGCAAUGGACGAAAGUCUGACGGAGCAACGCCGCGUGAGCGAAGAAGGUCUUCGGAUCGUAAAGCUCUAUUGUCAGGGAAGAACAAGUACCGUUCGAAUAGGGCGGUACCUUGACGGUACCUGACCAGAAAGCCACGGCUAACUACGUGCCAGCCGCCGCGGUAA